rnacentral:tRNA from 1 species
GCCUGGGUGGCUCAGUCGGUUGAGUGUCUGACUUCAGCUCAGGUCAUGAUCUCGCAGUCUGUGAGUUCGAGCCCCGCAUUGGGCU